AAAAUACUCCCUCCGUUCCGAAUUACUUGUCUUGGAUUUGUCUAGAUACGGAUGUAUCUAGACUCAUUUUAGUGCUAGAUACCUCCGUAUCUAGACAAAUCUAAGACAAGUAAUUCGGAACGGAGGGAGUAUAAG
rnacentral:pre_miRNA from 1 species